GACGAACGCUGGCGGCGUGCUUAACACAUGCAAGUCGAACGGAAAGGCCCUGCUUUUGUGGGGUGCUCGAGUGGCGAACGGGUGAGUAACACGUGAGUAACCUGCCCUUGACUUUGGGAUAACUUCAGGAAACUGGGGCUAAUACCGGAUAGGAGCUCCUGCUGCAUGGUGGGGGUUGGAAAGAUUCGGCGGUUGGGGAUGGACUCGCGGCUUAUCAGCUUGUUGGUGGGGUAGUGGCUUACCAAGGCUUUGACGGGUAGCCGGCCUGAGAGGGUGACCGGCCACAUUGGGACUGAGAUGCGGCCCAGACUCCUACGGGAGGCAGCAGUGGGGAAUAUUGCACAAUGGGCGGAAGCCUGAUGCAGCAACGCCGCGUGCGGGAUGACGGCCUUCGGGUUGUAAACCGCUUUCGCCUGUGACGAAGCGUGAGUGACGGUAAUGGGUAAAGAAGCACCGGCUAACUACGUG
rnacentral:rRNA from 1 species